UUUCAGUUGCCAUAAGAGUUUUCCAGAGGUUGGAGACAUUGAACUUCAAGAAGCUUGAGUUCUGGAUCCAGUUAGAAGUUCCUGGCAGAAAGAGAUGAGCACAAUACAGCUUCAAACCAUGCAGAACCAUUCCAAUAUGCAGAAGACAACAGGGAGGUAGUGCCAGUGGCCAUAAGAUGAGCUUUGCCUUGUCUUAUUGUUAAAAUCUCUGCAGAAGGAGGAUCCCAACUUCUUUUCCAUACCAAGGGAUGUAUGCCAGAACAUGUUGUCAGGCUGCAUUUGUUCAGAUCUAUCCCCCAGAUCAUGUGAAGAUGCCUUCAACUCUUUUGAAUAUUCAGCUCUGCUCAGAUAAAUGUUGUUGGGAGAGGGGGUCACAGCUUUAGAAAUGGUUUCCCAUGGUCUUUUUAUUUAUUCAAAAUAAACUUGGUGUGACAACUA